GGGAAUGUGGCUUAGUGGUAUAGUGAUUGCCUCACAUGCAUGAAGCCCUGGGUUCGAUUCCUCAGUACCA
rnacentral:tRNA from 1 species